AACGAACGUUAGCGGCGCGCCUAAGACAUGCAAGUCGAGCGAGAAAGGGAUUCGUCCCCGGUAAAGCGGCGCACGGGUGAGUAACACGUAGGUAAUCAACCCUCGAGUGGUGGACAACUCUCCGAAAGGAGAGCUAAUACAGCAUGACGUGGCGGUCCUCCGAGAUCGUUUCCAAAGCGGGCCUCUUCAUGAAAGCUCGCGCUCGAGGAUGAGCCUGCGGCCCAUCAGCUAGUUGGCGGGGUAACAGCCCACCAAGGCAUAGACGGGUAGCUGGUCUGAGAGGAUGAACAGCCACACUGGAACUGAGACACGGUCCAGACUCCUACGGGAGGCAGCAGUCGGGAAUCUUCCGCAAUGGGCGAAAGCCUGACGGAGCGACGCCGCGUGAGUGAUGAAGGCCUUCGGGUUGUAAAGCUCUGUGGGGAGGGAAGAAUAAGUUCAAGCGAAUACCUUGAAUGAUGACGGUACCUCCUUAGCAAGCACCGGCUAACUCUGUGCCAGCCGCCGCAGUAA
rnacentral:rRNA from 1 species